rnacentral:rRNA from 1 species
UUGAUCCUGGCUCAGAUUGAACGCUGGCGGCAGGCCUAACACAUGCAAGUCGAGCGGCAGCGGGAAAGUAGCUUGCUACUUUUGCCGGCGAGCGGCGGACGGGUGAGUAAUGCCUGGGGAUCUGCCCAGUCGAGGGGGAUAACUACUGGAAACGGUAGCUAAUACCGCAUACGCCCUACGGGGGAAAGCAGGGGACCUUCGGGCCUUGCGCGAUUGGAUGAACCCAGGUGGGAUUAGCUAGUUGGUGAGGUAAUGGCUCACCAAGGCGACGAUCCCUAGCUGGUCUGAGAGGAUGAUCAGCCACACUGGAACUGAGACACGGUCCAGACUCCUACGGGAGGCAGCAGUGGGGAAUAUUGCACAAUGGGGGAAACCCUGAUGCAGCCAUGCCGCGUGUGUGAAGAAGGCCUUCGGGUUGUAAAGCACUUUCAGCGAGGAGGAAAGGUUGGUAGCUAAUAACUGCCAGCUGUGACGUUACUCGCAGAAGAAGCACCGCUAACUCC